rnacentral:rRNA from 1 species
CCUACGGGCGGCAGCAGUGGGGAAUAUUGGGCAAUGGGCGCAAGCCUGACCCAGCAACGCCGCGUGAAGGAAGAAGGCUUUCGGGUUGUAAACUUCUUUUCUCAGGGACGAAACAAGUGACGGUACCUGACGAAUAAGCCACGGCUAACUACGUGCCAGCAGCCGCUGUAAUACGUAGGUGGCAAGCGUUAUCCGGAUUUACUGGGUGUAAAGGGCGUGUAGGCGGGGAGACAAGUCAGAUGUGAAAACCACGGGCUCAACCUGGGGCCUGCAUUUGAAACUGUGUUGCUUGAGUGCUGGAGAGGCAGGCGGAAUUCCUAGUGUAGCGGUGAAAUGCGUAGAUAUUAGGAGGAACACCAGUGGCGAAGGCGGUCUGCUGGACAGCAACUGACGCUGAGGCGCGAAAGCGUGGGGAGCAAACAGGAUUAGAUACCCCUGUAGUC